UGUUCCCUUCCCUUUUUCUGUGUAGUGUAUUUUCCACUUUUCCCUCCCUAGCACAAUAGCAUAAAAACUAGAGUAAAUGAAUGGAACACAAGCACAAUAAUGCAAACACAAAUGUGACGAGGGUGAUGCGAACAAGUGAUCGUGAAGAGUCUUAUAACCUGGGUUUGAUCUAGCAACAUAGUAUUUUACUAUUUGUCGAUAAUUCAUUGUUGAGCUGGGAUAAUAGGUCAAUUCAGUUCAUGAUAAGUAGAAGUAUUUGGCUCGGCUAGUCCUUAAAUGCUUGCUUCUGAGUGAAGCACAGAAUUGUUGGAACCCUGUCUCUUUUUAUUAUAUGCUUCUGUUCAGUUUUCAUGUCACAUUCAACCUUCUAGGGUUGAAGGUGAAAAGCCUUAUGGUAGACUAACAGUCUUCUUGUGAAGCAUGAGUCAAAAACAGUGUCAAUGUGCUUCUAUAUAUCUGAAUCAGUGUAUUUCAAAGUCCUGCAUAUGGUAAAC
rnacentral:lncRNA from 1 species